rnacentral:lncRNA from 1 species
CAGGAGAUGACAUGGGAAGACAUGGAAGCUUUGUGUCCCUUCCCAUAUACCUUGCUCUCUGCAUCUCUUCCAUUUGGCUCCUCCUGAGUUUGAUUAUUGGCGUGCCUCUCAACAUCCAGCAGAAUGUGGGAAUAUUGCUGAGUUGAGUAAAUAUUUCCUUCCAUAAAGGUAAAUAAGCAUCUCAAGAGCAAGUUUCUACAUUUUGUAUUUCCCUGUUUUAUUUCUGUAAAAUUGUGCAACCAAGAAUUAUGACCUACUGAUAUUAGAAUAAAAUUUGCAGAAGUUUGA